UCGGGUUGUAAACUUCUUUUAUGAGGGACGAAGAUAUGACGGUACCUCAUGAAUAAGCCACGGCUAACUACGUGCCAGCAGCCGCGGUAAUACGUAGGUGGCAAGCGUUAUCCGGAUUUACUGGGUGUAAAGGGCGUGUAGGCGGGACUGCAAGUCAGAUGUGAAAUUCCAGGGCUCAACCCUGGACCUGCAUUUGAAACUGUGGUUCCUGAGUGAUGGAGAGGCAGGCGGAAUUCCCUGUGUAGCGGUGAAAUGCGUAGAUAUAGGGAGGAACACCAGUGGCGAAGGCGGCCUGCUGGACAUUAACUGACGCUGAGGCGCGAAAGCGUGGGGAGCAAACAGGAUUAGAUACCCUGGUAGUCCACGCUGUAAACGAUGGAUACUAGGUGUGGGGGGACUGACCCCUUCCGUGCCGCAGUUAACACAAUAA
rnacentral:rRNA from 1 species